rnacentral:rRNA from 1 species
UAAAAGUAAGUCUCAGUUCGGAUUGAAGGCUGAAAUUCGCCUUUAUGAAGCCGGAAUUGCUAGUAAUGGCAGGUCAGCAUACUGCCGUGAAUACGUUCCCGGGCCCUUGUACACACCGCCCGUCACACCAUGAGAGUUGGGAAUACCCGAAGCCUGUGAGCCAACUGAAAAGAGGCAGCAGUCGAAGGUAGAAUCAAUGAUUGGGGUGAAGUCGUAACAAGGUACC